UUGGAUAUAAAAGCCACUAGCAUGCCAGGGGAUCUCAGUCAAAGGAUCAUGAAACACUAUGACCCAGAGAUGUCUCAAAUAGUUAUACCUGACAGGGGCAAGAUCCCAGUUGAUGUAGAAAGUGUUCGCAGGAUAUGGGGCUUGCCAAACAAAGGGAGGAAAGUCUGCUUCGAAAUGAAUCCCAAUGUCAUAAGGGAAUUCAACAGCAUCUACAAGAUUGAGGGCAAAAACUCUCCUACGCUGACAUCGUGGUGCAAAAUGAUUGAAAAUAUGAACGGGGCUGCUAAUGAUGAUUUUCUCCGUGCUUGGCUGGCAGUUGCCUUUUCUUGUUUCCUCGCUCCAACAACAAGCUUGAGCAUUUCGCCAAGGUGUUUCCCCGCUAUCUUGAACACAAAUGUCAUCAAAGACUCGAAGAUAUGCGACUUUGUUGUUGAUCAACUAAGGCUAGCAUUCAUGGGGUUUGGGGAGAAGAAGAAAGCGGUUUGCUGCUGUGUCUUCCACCUAGUAGUAAGUACAAAUACAAUAUUUAACAAUUUUUUGUUUGUUCAUUCUUUUUUUCCUAAUUCAAAUACACUAUGGGAAUGA
rnacentral:rRNA from 1 species